rnacentral:rRNA from 1 species
GAGUAAUGCGUGACCAACCUGCCCCAUGCUCCAGAAUAGCUCUUGGAAACGGGUGGUAAUGCUGGAUGCUCCAACUUGACGCAUGUCUUGUUGGGAAAGUGUUUAGUGGCAUGGGAUGGGGUCGCGUCCUAUCAGCUUGUAGGCGGGGUAAUGGCCCACCUAGGCUUCGACGGGUAGCCGGCCUGAGAGGGCGGACGGCCACAUUGGGACUGAGAUACGGCCCAGACUCCCUACGGGAGGCAGCAGCG